GUGGCCACGUCAGCAGCACAUAUCCUAAAACUGGAAUGAUGCAGAGAAGAUUAGCAUGGCCCUUGCUCAAGGAUGAAAAAAAAGAAAAGAAAAUUAUAUAAUCUCA